rnacentral:tRNA from 2 species
CGGGCUGUAGCGCAGUUGGCUAGCGCGCGUCGUUCGGGACGACGAGGUCGGAGGUUCAAGUCCUCUCAGCCCGACCA